rnacentral:rRNA from 1 species
UACGUAGGGUGCAAGCGUUGUCCGGAAUUAUUGGGCGUAAAGAGCUUGUAGGCGGUUUGUCGCGUCUGCUGUGAAAUUUCGGGGCUCAACCCCGAACUUGCAGUGGGUACGGGCAGACUAGAGUGUGGUAGGGGAGACUGGAAUUCCUGGUGUAGCGGUGAAAUGCGCAGAUAUCAGGAGGAACACCGAUGGCGAAGGCGGCUACCUGGACAGAAACUGACGCUGAGGCGCGAAAGCUAGGGGAGCAAACAGG